AGAGUUUGAUCCUGGCUGAGAACGAACGCUGGCGGCAGGCCUUAUACAUGCAAGUCGAGCGCAUCCUUCGGGAUGAGCGGCGGACGGGUGAGUAACGCGUGGGAAUGUGCCCUUCUCUACGGAAUAGCCACUGGAAACGGUGAGUAAUACCGUAUACGCCCUUAGGGGGAAAGAUUUAUCGGAGAAGGAUCAGCCCGCGUUAGAUUAGGUAGUUGGUGGGGUAACGGCCUACCAAGCCUACGAUCUAUAGCUGGUUUUAGAGGAUGAUCAGCCACACUGGGACUGAGACACGGCCCAGACUCCUACGGGAGGCAGCAGUAGGGAAUCUUGGACAAUGGGGGAAACCCUGAUCCAGCCAUGCCGCGUGAGUGAAGAAGGCCUUAGGGUCGUAAAGCUCUUUCGCCUGUGAUGAUAAUGACAGUAGCAGGUAAAGAAACCCCGGCUAACUCCGUGCCAGCAGCCGCGGUAAUACGGAGGGGGUUAGCGUUGUUCGGAAUUACUGGGCGUAAAGCGCGCGUAGGCGGAUUGGAAAGUUGGGGGUGAAAUCCCGGGGCUCAACCCCGGAACUGCCUCCAAAACUGCCAGUCUAGAGUUCGAGAGAGGUGAGUGGAACUCCAAGUGUAGAGGUGAAAUUCGUAGAUAUUUGGAAGAACACCAGUGGCGAAGGCGGCUCACUGGCUCGAUACUGA
rnacentral:rRNA from 1 species